rnacentral:rRNA from 1 species
UUUUACAAUGGAGAGUUUGAUCCUGGCUCAGGAUGAACGCUAGCUACAGGCUUAACACAUGCAAGUCGAGGGGAAACGACAUCGAAAGCUUGCUUUUGAUGGGCGUCGACCGGCGCACGGGUGAGUAACGCGUAUCCAACCUGCCCACCACUUGGGGAUAACCUUGCGAAAGUAAGACUAAUACCCAAUGAUAUCUCUAGAAGGCAUCUGAAGGAGAUUAAAGAUUUAUCGGUGAUGGAUGGGGAUGCGUCUGAUUAGCUUGUUGGCGGGGUAACGGCCCACCAAGGCGACGAUCAGUAGGGGUUCUGAGAGGAAGGUCCCCCACAUUGGAACUGAGACACGGUCCAAACUCCUACGGGAGGCAGCAGUGAGGAAUAUUGGUCAAUGGGCGAGAGCCUGAACCAGCCAAGUAGCGUGCAGGAUGACGGCCCUAUGGGUUGUAAACUGCUUUUAUAAGGGAAUAAAGUGAGUCUCGUGAGAC